rnacentral:rRNA from 1 species
CAGCGCCCCAAGUGGCAGUCGCGUUUAUUGGGCCUAAAGCGUCCGUAGCCGGACAAGUAAAUCCGCUGUGAAAUCGUCGUGCUUAACGCGACGGCAUGCAGUGGACACUGCUUGUCUCGAGACCGGGAGGAGUCAGAGGUAUGCCGUGGGGACCGGUAAAAUGGGAUAAUCCACGGUAGACCACCAAUGGCGAAGGCAUCUGACCAGAACGGAUCUGACGGUGAGGGACGAAAGCCAGGGGAGCGAACCGGAUUAGAUACCCGCGUAGUCC